rnacentral:rRNA from 1 species
GGUUAAGCGACUAAGCGUACACGGUGGAUGCCCGGCAGUCAGAGGCGAUGAAGGACGUGCUAAUCUGCGAUAAGCGUCGGUAAGGUGAUAUGAACCGUUAUAACCGGCGAUUUCCGAAUGGGGAAACCCAGUGUGUUUCGACACACUAUCAUUAACUGAAUCCAUAGGUUAAUGAGGCGAACCGGGGAACUGAAACAUCUAAGUACCCCGAGGAAAAGAAAUCAACCGAGAUUCCCCCAGUAGCGGCGAGCGAACGGGGAGCAGCCCAGAGCCUGAAUCAGUAUGUGUGUUAGUGGAAGCGUCUGGAAAGGCGCGCGAUACAGGGUGACAGCCCCGUACACAAAAAUGCACAUAUUGUGAGCUCGAUGAGUAGGGCGGGACACGUGGUAUCCUGUCUGAAUAUGGGGGGACCAUCCUCCAAGGCUAAAUACUCCUGACUGACCGAUAGUGAACCAGUACCGUGAGGGAAAGGCGAAAAGAACCCCGGCGAGGGGAGUGAAAAAGAACCUGAAACCGUGUACGUACAAGCAGUGGGAGCACGCUUAGGCGUGUGACUGCGUACCUUUUGUAUAAUGGGUCAGCGACUUAUAUUCUGUAGCAAGGUUAACCGAAUAGGGGAGCCGAAGGGAAACCGAGUCUUAACUGGGCGUUAAGUUGCAGGGUAUAGACCCGAAACCCGGUGAUCUAGCCAUGGGCAGGUUGAAGGUUGGGUAACACUAACUGGAGGACCGAACCGACUAAUGUUGAAAAAUUAGCGGAUGACUUGUGGCUGGGGGUGAAAGGCCAAUCAAACCGGGAGAUAGCUGGUUCUCCCCGAAAGCUAUUUAGGUAGCGCCUCGUGAAUUCAUCUCCGGGGGUAGAGCACUGUUUCGGCAAGGGGGUCAUCCCGACUUACCAACCCGAUGCAAACUGCGAAUACCGGAGAAUGUUAUCACGGGAGACACACGGCGGGUGCUAACGUCCGUCGUGAAGAGGGAAACAACCCAGACCGCCAGCUAAGGUCCCAAAGUCAUGGUUAAGUGGGAAACGAUGUGGGAAGGCCCAGACAGCCAGGAUGUUGGCUUAGAAGCAGCCAUCAUUUAAAGAAAGCGUAAUAGCUCACUGGUCGAGUCGGCCUGCGCGGAAGAUGUAACGGGGCUAAACCAUGCACCGAAGCUGCGGCAGCGACGCUUAUGCGUUGUUGGGUAGGGGAGCGUUCUGUAAGCCUGCGAAGGUGUGCUGUGAGGCAUGCUGGAGGUAUCAGAAGUGCGAAUGCUGACAUAAGUAACGAUAAAGCGGGUGAAAAGCCCGCUCGCCGGAAGACCAAGGGUUCCUGUCCAACGUUAAUCGGGGCAGGGUGAGUCGACCCCUAAGGCGAGGCCGAAAGGCGUAGUCGAUGGGAAACAGGUUAAUAUUCCUGUACUUGGUGUUACUGCGAAGGGGGGACGGAGAAGGCUAUGUUGGCCGGGCGACGGUUGUCCCGGUUUAAGCGUGUAGGCUGGUUUUCCAGGCAAAUCCGGAAAAUCAAGGCUGAGGCGUGAUGACGAGGCACUACGGUGCUGAAGCAACAAAUGCCCUGCUUCCAGGAAAAGCCUCUAAGCAUCAGGUAACAUCAAAUCGUACCCCAAACCGACACAGGUGGUCAGGUAGAGAAUACCAAGGCGCUUGAGAGAACUCGGGUGAAGGAACUAGGCAAAAUGGUGCCGUAACUUCGGGAGAAGGCACGCUGAUAUGUAGGUGAGGUCCCUCGCGGAUGGAGCUGAAAUCAGUCGAAGAUACCAGCUGGCUGCAACUGUUUAUUAAAAACACAGCACUGUGCAAACACGAAAGUGGACGUAUACGGUGUGACGCCUGCCCGGUGCCGGAAGGUUAAUUGAUGGGGUCAGCGCAAGCGAAGCUCUUGAUCGAAGCCCCGGUAAACGGCGGCCGUAACUAUAACGGUCCUAAGGUAGCGAAAUUCCUUGUCGGGUAAGUUCCGACCUGCACGAAUGGCGUAAUGAUGGCCGGGCUGUCUCCACCCGAGACUCAGUGAAAUUGAACUCGCUGUGAAGAUGCAGUGUACCCGCGGCAAGACGGAAAGACCCCGUGAACCUUUACUAUAGCUUGACACUGAACAUUGAGCCUUGAUGUGUAGGAUAGGUGGGAGGCUUAGAAGUGUGGACGCCAGUCUGCAUGGAGCCGACCUUGAAAUACCACCCUUUAAUGUUUGAUGUUCUAACGUUGACCCGUAAUCCGGGUUGCGGACAGUGUCUGGUGGGUAGUUUGACUGGGGCGGUCUCCUCCUAAAGAGUAACGGAGGAGCACGAAGGUUGGCUAAUCCUGGUCGGACAUCAGGAGGUUAGUGCAAUGGCAUAAGCCAGCUUGACUGCGAGCGUGACGGCGCGAGCAGGUGCGAAAGCAGGUCAUAGUGAUCCGGUGGUUCUGAAUGGAAGGGCCAUCGCUCAACGGAUAAAAGGUACUCCGGGGAUAACAGGCUGAUACCGCCCAAGAGUUCAUAUCGACGGCGGUGUUUGGCACCUCGAUGUCGGCUCAUCACAUCCUGGGGCUGAAGUAGGUCCCAAGGGUAUGGCUGUUCGCCAUUUAAAGUGGUACGCGAGCUGGGUUUAGAACGUCGUGAGACAGUUCGGUCCCUAUCUGCCGUGGGCGCUGGAGAACUGAGGGGGGCUGCUCCUAGUACGAGAGGACCGGAGUGGACGCAUCACUGGUGUUCGGGUUGUCAUGCCAAUGGCACUGCCCGGUAGCUAAAUGCGGAAGAGAUAAGUGCUGAAAGCAUCUAAGCACGAAACUUGCCCCGAGAUGAGUUCUCCCUGACCCUUUAAGGGUCCUGAAGGAACGUUGAAGACGACGACGUUGAUAGGCCGGGUGUGUAAGCGCAGCGAUGCGUUGAGCUAACCGGUACUAAUGAACCGUGAGGCUUAACCUU